rnacentral:rRNA from 1 species
CAAGCGUGGAUUAUGUGUUUAAUUCGACGCAACGCGAGAACCUUACCAGGCCUUGACAUACUCGGCAAAGCUCUAGAGAUAGAGUGGAGGUUAUCCGGGAUACAGGUGGUGCAUGGUUGUCGUCAGCUCGUGUCGUGAGAUGUUGGGUUAAGUCCCGCAACGAGCGCAACCCUUGUCUUUAGUUACCAUCAUUCAGUUGGGGACUCUAGAGAGAUUGCCGGUGAUAAACCGGAGGAAGGUGGGGAUGACGUCAAAUCAUCAUGCCCCUUAUGGCCUGGGCUACAAACGUAAUACAAUGGCGUAUACAAAGAGAUGCGAAAGGGCGACCUGGAGCAAAACUCACAAAGUACGUCUCAGUUCAGAUUGGAGUCUGCAACUCGACUCCAUGAAGGCGGAAUCGCUAGUAAUCGCGGAUCAGCAUGCCGCGGUGAAUACGUUCUCGGGGUUU